rnacentral:rRNA from 1 species
UAGCCCGCCAGGUGCUUCGACCUAAGGAGCAGUGUUUUUAUUAAAUCAAAAGCAAUGUGUUUUUUGGUGAUUUGUUGGGGUUAUUUUGAUUAAUUUAGGUGAAUGCAUUCCUUGAAGGAGCAGGCGAUGUUUUUUUCAAGUUUUCUACCUAUCAAAUGAUCGUUGGUAGUUGAUACGACUACCAUGGUCGUCACGUGUUAACCGGGUAAUCAGGUUUCGUUUCCUGAGAGAGCGCAUGAGAAACGGCUGUCACCUCCAUGGAUGGCUGCAGGCGCGUAAAUUACACAAUCCCAGAUCGGGGAGAUAGUGACGAAAAAUAACGAUGCCGUUAUCUUCGGAUUCGGCAAUUGGAAUGAGAACAAUCAAAAUCCUUUAUCGAGGAUCGAUUGGAGGGCAAGUUCUGGUGCCAGCAGCCGCGGUAAUUCCAGCUCGAAUAGCGUAUGUUAAAUUUGCUGCGGUUAAAAAGCUCGUAGUUGGGUGUCAGAAGCUGAACUGGGCGCUGCCAUGCCAUUGUGUAUGUGUAGCAUUGCUCUAGUUUCACUUCUUAAAUGUCACCGUUCCUGCGUCGCGGAAGCCCAAUUGGUUUUGGGUGGCGCAUAAAGGAAGGUGUACAAAACUACUUUGAGAAAAUUAGCGUGCUUAACGCAGGCGCUCUUGCUUGUAUACUGUUGCAUGGAAUAAUGAGAUAGGACCUCGGUUCUGUUUCGUUGGUUUCCGGAAGCCGAGGUAAUGAUUGAUAGGGACAAACGGGGGCAUUCGUAUUGUGGUGUUAGAGGUGAAAUUCGAUGAUCACCGCAAGACGAACAACUGCGAAAGCAUUUGCUAAGAAUGUUUUCAUUAAUCAAGAACGAAAGUUAGAGUUUCGAAGACGAUUAGAUACCGUCCUAGUUCUAACUAUAAACUAUGCCAACUGGGCAUCUGGCGCUUGCAAGUAAGCAUCGCCAGGCACCCCGCGGGAAACCAAAGUUAUUGGGUUCCGGGGGGAGUAUGGUUGCAAAAUCGAAACUUAAAGGAAUUGACGGAGGGGCACACCAAAAGUGGAGCCUGCGGCUCAUUUUGACUCACCGCACGAAAACUUACUCGGUCCGAACACCGGGAGGAUUGACAGGUUGACAGCUCUUUCUUGGUUC